UCAGAUGCACUGGCCAGGUAGACAGGAAAAGUUCCGCGAACUUCUGAAUUUCAUUUCCUGUUUGGCCAGCAUUGCGAGCUGAUCAGCAUAGGUGACUAUGAAGAGCUUAUCAGCAGAGGUGACCAUGGAGUCCCAGAAUCUCAAAAGAGCUCCAGCAUGGACCGAACGGGAGAACCCCUGAACCCACUCAAGACAUGCUCCUGGACCCUGAAGGUGGAGAAUGGACCUCUGCUGAAUAUGUUUCUCCUUCCCAG